GACGAACGCUGGCGGCGUGCCUAAUACAUGCAAGUAGAACGCUGAAGGAGGAGCUUGCUUCUCUGGAUGAGUUGCGAACGGGUGAGUAACGCGUAGGUAACCUGCCUGGUAGCGGGGGAUAACUAUUGGAAACGAUAGCUAAUACCGCAUAAGAGUAGAUGUUGCAUGACAUUUGCUUAAAAGGUGCAAUUGCAUCACUACCAGAUGGACCUGCGUUGUAUUAGCUAGUUGGUGGGGUAACGGCUCACCAAGGCGACGAUACAUAGCCGACCUGAGAGGGUGAUCGGCCACACUGGGACUGAGACACGGCCCAGACUCCUACGGGAGGCAGCAGUAGGGAAUCUUCGGCAAUGGACGGAAGUCUGACCGAGCAACGCCGCGUGAGUGAAGAAGGGUUUCGGAUCGUAAAGCUCUGUUGUAAGAGAAGAACGAGUGUGAGAGUGGAAAGUUCACACUGUGACGGUAGCUGACCAGAAAGGGACGGCUAACUACGUG
rnacentral:rRNA from 1 species